GCAUAUCAAUAAGCGGAGGAAAAGAAAAUAACAAUGAUUCCCUUAGUAACGGCGAGUGAAGGGGGAAAAGCUCAAAUUUUAAAUCUGCUAGGUUUUACUAAUCAGAAUUGUAAUUUGAAGAAGCGUUUUCCGCGUCUUGGUUGGCCCAAAUCCUUUGGGAUAAGGUAUCAUGGAGGGUGAGAAUCCCGUUCGGUUGACCUUAUGACGCUCUACGAUACGCUCUCUAAGAGUCGAGUUGUUUGGGAUUGCAGCUCAAAAUGGGAGGUAAAUUUCUCCUAAGGCUAAAUAUCGGCGAGAGACCGAUAGCGAACAAGUACCGUGAGGGAAAGAUGAAAAGAACUUUGAAAAGAGAGUAAAAUAGUACGUGAAAUUGUUGAAAGGGAAACGAUUGAAGUCAGUCGUACCAACGAGAAAUCAACUUAUCGUGUGCGAACU
rnacentral:rRNA from 1 species